UGGGAUGUGGCACAGUGGCUAGAGCAUUGAACUUGGAAGCACGAAGACCCAAGUUUGAUUUCUGGCAUCCCAU
rnacentral:tRNA from 1 species